rnacentral:lncRNA from 1 species
AUUUUUGCAAGUAUUAUGGUUUUCUUUUCGUAACAUGAUAGCUAUGUAAAAAAUAAAAAUAAAAAUAAAAUAAAAUAAUUGAAGAGAAACAUAAUAAUCCAAAUAUAACUAAUAAAAAUUAAAUUAGCACGUCUACAAAUACCUUGAAAUAUAGAAUGUUAUGAAAAUAUUAAAUUGAUAAAGUAUCAUUAAAAAAAAA